rnacentral:rRNA from 1 species
UACGUAGGGUGCAAGCGUUGUCCGGAAUUAUUUGGCGUAAAGAGCUCGUAGGCGGUCUGUCGCGUCGGAUGUGAAAACCCAGGGCUCAACCCUGGGCCUGCAUUCGAUACGGGCAGACUAGAGUUCGGUAGGGGAGACUGGAAUUCCUGGUGUAGCGGUGAAAUGCGCAGAUAUCAGGAGGAACACCGGUGGCGAAGGCGGGUCUCUGGGCCGAAACUGACGCUGAGGAGCGAAAGCGUGGGGAGCAAACAGG